rnacentral:rRNA from 1 species
UACGUAGGCGGAAGAUUAAGUCAGUGGUGAAAUCCUGCAGCUUAACUGUAGAACUGUCAUUGAUACUGGUUUUCUUGAAUUUAGUUGAGGUAGGCGGAAUGUGUAAUGUAGCGGUGAAAUGCUUAGAUAUUACACAGAACACCGAUUGCGAAGGCAGCUUACUAAACUAUGAUUGACGCUGAGGUACGAAAGCGUGGGGAGCGAACAGGAUUAGAUACCCUGGUAGUCA